rnacentral:rRNA from 1 species
AUAGCUGGUUCUCUCCGAAAUAGCUUUAGGGCUAGCCUCAAGUGAUGAUUAUUGGAGGUAGAGCACUGUUUGGACGAGGGGCCCCUCUCGGGUUACCGAAUUCAGACAAACUCCGAAUGCCAAUUAAUUUAACUUGGGAGUCAGAACAUGGGUGAUAAGGUCCGUGUUCGAAAGGGAAACAGCCCAGACCACCAGCUAAGGUCCCAAAAUAUAUGUUAAGUGGAAAAGGAUGUGGCGUUGCCCAGACAACUAGGAUGUUGGCUUAGAAGCAGCCAUCAUUUAAAGAGUGCGUAAUAGCUCACUAGUCGAGUGACACUGCGCCGAAAAUGUACCGGGGCUAAACAUAUUACCGAAGCUGUGGAUUGUCCUUUGGACAAUGGUAGGAGAGCGUUCUAAGGGCGUUGAAGCAUGAUCGUAAGGACAUGUGGAGCGCUUAGAAGUGAGAAUGCCGGUGUGAGUAGCGAAAGACGGGUGAGAAUCCCGUCCACCGAUUGACUAAGGUUUCCAGAGGAAGGCUCGUCCGCUCUGGGUUAGUCGGGUCCUAAGCUGAGGCCGACAGGCGUAGGCGAUGGAUAACAGGUUGAUAUUCCUGUACCACCUAUAAUCGUUUUAAUCGAUGGGGGGACGCAGUAGGAUAGGCGAAGCGUGCGAUUGGAUUGCACGUCUAAGCAGUAAGGCUGAGUAUUAGGCAAAUCCGGUACUCGUUAAGGCUGAGCUGUGAUGGGGAGAAGACAUUGAGUCUUCGAGUCGUUGAUUUCACACUGCCGAGAAAAGCCUCUAGAUAGAAAAUAGGUGCCCGUACCGCAAACCGACACAGGUAGUCAAGAUGAGAAUUCUAAGGUGAGCGAGCGAACUCUCGUUAAGGAACUCGGCAAAAUGACCCCGUAACUCUGGAGAAGGGGUGCUCUUUAGGGUUAACGCCCAGAAGAGCCGCAGUGAAUAGGCCCAAGCGACUGUUUAUCAAAAACACAGGUCUCUGCUAAACCGUAAGGUGAUGUAUAGGGGCUGACGCCUGCCCGGUGCUGGAAGGUUAAGAGGAGUGGUUAGCUUCUGCGAAGCUACGAAUCGAAGCCCCAGUAAACGGCGGCCGUAACUAUAACGGUCCUAAGGUAGCGAAAUUCCUUGUCGGGUAAGUUCCGACCCGCACGAAAGGCGUAACGAUUUGGGCACUGUCUCAACGAGAGACUCGGUGAAAUCAUAGUACCUGUGAAGAUGCAGGUUACCCGCGACAGGACGGAAAGACCCCGUGGAGCUUUACUGUAGCCUGAUAUUGAAAUUCGGCACAGCUUGUACAGGAUAGGUAGGAGCCUUUGAAACGUGAGCGCUAGCUUACGUGGAGGCGCUGGUGGGAUACUACCCUAGCUGUGUUGGCUUUCUAACCCGCACCACUUAUCGUGGUGGGAGACAGUGUCAGGCGGGCAGUUUGACUGGGGCGGUCGCCUCCUAAAAGGUAACGGAGGCGCUCAAAGGUUCCCUCAGAAUGGUUGGAAAUCAUUCAUAGAGUGUAAAGGCAUAAGGGAGCUUGACUGCGAGACCUACAAGUCGAGCAGGGUCGAAAGACGGACUUAGUGAUCCGGUGGUUCCGCAUGGAAGGGCCAUCGCUCAACGGAUAAAAGCUACCCCGGGGAUAACAGGCUUAUCUCCCCCAAGAGUUCACAUCGACGGGGAGGUUUGGCACCUCGAUGUCGGCUCAUCGCAUCCUGGGGCUGUAGUCGGUCCCAAGGGUUGGGCUGUUCGCCCAUUAAAGCGGUACGCGAGCUGGGUUCAGAACGUCGUGAGACAGUUCGGUCCCUAUCCGUCGUGGGCGUAGGAAAUUUGAGAGGAGCUGUCCUUAGUACGAGAGGACCGGGAUGGACAUACCUCUGGUGUACCAGUUGUCGUGCCAACGGCAUAGCUGGGUAGCUAUGUGUGGACGGGAUAAGUGCUGAAAGCAUCUAAGCAUGAAGCCCCCCUCAAGAUGAGAUUUCCCAACUUCGGUUAUAAGAUCCCUCAAAGAUGAUGAGGUUAAUAGGUUCGAGGUGGAAGCAUGGUGACAUGUGGAGCUGACGAAUACUAAUCGAUCGAAGACUUAAUCAAAA